rnacentral:lncRNA from 1 species
GCAGAUGGUCAAAAGUAAACGCUAAUGUACUUUAGGAACAUAUUAAGCCUGAUUCUUUUUCAAAGUACAUUGAAAAUCAACUUCAAUUAUGAAAUUUUACAAAGCAAUCAAAAAUUAGAGCAGCAACCAAAACAUACUACAUUUCUUAAAUGUUCUAACUAGAACAAGCUCUAGAAAAGCCACAAUUCCUCCAGACACCUCCCCCAUACAUGACUUUAAAAAAAAAUCACCAAGGGGGAUGUGACUCCCACAUCAAAGUAUCGCUGCACAAUGCCGUUUUCAUAAGUAAGCCACAUCCUAAUUGUUUAACCUUCAUGGCUGUAUCUUAUGACUCCAAUUCUUUCUGAUUCUGCAAAGUUACUGUAAAGGACAUCAAUUCAAACUCACUGUUCUUUUCCACAAUGUUUAAAACUUGGUCGCUCAGAUUUGAUGACCAAAACUCAAAUCCCCUGAGAUGAUAUAACUGAUACAUGUGAGGGGUUCGAGAAGCUGUGAUUACACACAACAGACCAACAGUCCUUUUUGAAAGUAAAGCAAAGCCAGGCUUGGGGAUGUCCUCCCAGCACAAGUUACUCCCGUGAGAUCCAGGAGACCAGCCAUAUUGGAAAACACUUGUCAAUUACAGUUCUGACAAGUGUUCCCGAACACCGAUGCACGAAGCUACCGAGGUGUACACCAAGGGCUUCUGGGCCGCUUUGGGGGAGCUGUCUCCGGGAUAGAGUCGUCCUUCGAUCCGAAAGAACCGCGCGCGGAGGUAAGGAGGGUAGGGGAAAGGAGAGUUGAGGGGGAUGGUGAGGAGUUGGAAGCCGCUCAGUGGCGAGAGAGGGGCGCGGCGGCCGC